CCUUUGUUUGGGGGACGUUGCUUCCGGAUUGGUUAUGGGGCGCAGUUCCGGUUUGCCUCAAACGCAAUCUGGACAAGUACACCUGGAUGCUAAUGGCAGCGCUUCGGACGUCAUUGUUGAUUUCUAUUUUAUUACUUCCGAUCUGUGGUCAAAUCUGCUGAAGGAGUCUGGCACAUCCUCACCGCCAGUGUAUCAGCAGUGCAUGGAAGGAGAGCUUCAGGGAAGGAUGACCCACUAAACUCACCACUUCUCUAACCCUGACAUUUAGCAGUCUGACAUGAGAACUGGUUGAACAGGCAGCUUAACUUGUUUUGAGAAUGGCAAACAUGGAGUCCCUCGGGGCAGAUCCCACAAAGGAAAUGGCCUGUGUCUGUUUGUGUUUGUAAGACACAAAAAAGAAGAAUGGAGUGAAUAGGGGGAAGAGAGCUCCGGCAUCGCUGAGUUUGAACAGAACGCCGAGCAUAUGGCUUUGAGUCAUUCAGCGGAGGAAAGAGAAAGAUGGGAUGUGCAAACCCCUUCAAUGCCUCCAUGCUGCUCUUCCCCCCCUCCACUCCACCAUCCGUCCCCUUGUAUUGGCAGACUGGGAAGCAGAUGAUCAUCCUUUGAACCCAUUACUCAGCCUGAUCCUCUUAUCAUAACCAACCUUCCUGAGUCUCUAAUUUGGGGUCUGCCAAACUCCGCUCUGUGCACAAUGUGGCUUUCGUUUCUCUCCCAUUGAGCCCUUCUUCUUUUUUUUCUACCUCAUCAAUAUGUGUGUGAGGGAAGUGAGUCAAAGGAGAGCGAACAGGGAUCCUCUGCACACAUUUGUGCACCUAUCUCAGGGGAUAUUCCAGCACUCUGAAAUAAGACAAGCAUGUGGGUGGGUCAGUAUUCUGGGAACACAAAGGUUUCAUCUUCAGCUACCUGCUACUCACACCUUUCCAAGGAAUCGCUCAUUUUCCCUCCCUGGCUCUGUGUCCUGCAAAUAUCACAUUCCCCUUUGGUUUAUAGCACAUGUUCGGUGCAUUCCUCUGUGGGGGGAUGUGGUCAAAUAAAUGGGCUCGCAAUCCCACCCAGGGUAGGGAAUACACCACAAUGUCUUAUUGUUUUAAAUGGAAGUAUAUCAAACGUUGGGAAUGAAACAAUGGGAGAAAAAAAAUCCUUCCACGCCAUGUGUCAGGGGUAUACACGAUGUAAACAAAUAAAUGUCUUCAUUUGCAUCAGAACU